UACGUAGGUGGCAAGCGUUGUCCGGAUUUAUUGGGCGUAAAGCGCGCGCAGGCGGUCCUUUAAGUCUGAUGUGAAAGCCCACGGCUCAACCGUGGAGGGUCAUUGGAAACUGAGGGACUUGAGUGCAGAAGAGGAAAGUGGAAUUCCACGUGUAGCGGUGAAAUGCGUAGAGAUGUGGAGGAACACCAGUGGCGAAGGCGACUUUCUGGUCUGUAACUGACACUGAGGCGCGAAAGCGUGGGGAGCAAACAGG
rnacentral:rRNA from 1 species